rnacentral:rRNA from 1 species
CCUACGGGGUGCAGCAGUGGGGAAUAUUGCGCAAUGGGGGCAACCCUGACGCAGCAACGCCGCGUGAUUGAAGAAGGCCUUCGGGUUGUAAAGAUCUUUAAUCGGGGACGAAUUUUGACGGUACCCGAAGUAUAAGCUCCGGCUAACUACGUGCCAGCAGCCGCGGUAAUACGUAGGGAGCAGGCGUUAUCCGGCUUUACUGGGUGUAAAGGGCGUGUAGUCGGGCAUGCAAGCCAGAAGUGAAAUCUGGGGGCUUAACCCCCAAACUGCUUUUGGAACGGCGUGUCUUGAGUGAUGGAGAGGCAGGCGGAAUUGCCAGGGGAGCGGGGAAAUGCGGAGAUAUUGGGAGGAACACCAGUGGCGAAGGCGGCCUGCUGGACAUUAACUGACGCUGAGGCGCGAAAGCGGGGGGAGCAAACAGGAUUAGAUACCCUUGUAGUU